UUUAUUUAACAGAUUAGAAGAGUGAAGAUAUAGAGAAGAGUGGAGGUUCGAACAAAUGGUACUACUCAAGUGUAAUGAAUGAGGGUCAAGGGGUGCCAAAUUAUCUAGAAAAAGGGUUGACGGAGGAUAGAAAGAGAUAGAGAGAGAGAGAGAGAGAGAGAGAGAGAGAAAGAAAGAGAGAGAGAAG